AAAGCAAAGAAGCUCAGGAUCAGUGAGACUUUUCCCCUUUCUCUCUCACUCCGUGCUUAGGAGAAUUAAUUUCGCUGGACCCUGAUGAACUGAAGCAUGAAAUGUUCAUACUUAAAUUCCUUCUGAAGACAAAUGUAAGGGACAGCAACAACAACUCUGUUAGAGCACCAAGAAGAUGCAACUCCAUUAAUUAUCUAGUCAGUUUUCCAAUGUGUAUUAAUUUGAAUUUAUUAACAUGGGCCUGCGUCAAGAAUUUUGUUCCAGAUUUUCCCAAUUUUCAGCAUAUUUAUCACAGGAUUUUGAUUUGGUCCAUUGUACAGGCAGGCUA